rnacentral:misc_RNA from 1 species
GAAAUGCGAUAAGUAGUGUGAAUUGCAGAAUUCAGUGAAUCAUCGAAUCUUUGAACGCACAUUGCGCCCCUCGGUAUUCCGUGGGGCAUGCCUGUUCGAGCGUCAUCUACACCCUCAAGCUCUGCUUGGUGUUGGGCGUCUGUCCCGCCUCCUUCGCGCGCGGACUCGCCCCAAAUCCAUUGGCGGCGGCCCUUGCCUCCCUCUCGCGCAACACAUUGCGCUUCUCGAGGCGCGGCGGACCGCGUCCAGCAAGCAACCGUCACACCGUCUUUGACCUCGGAUCAGGUAGGGAUACCCGCUGAACUUCAGC